GGAAAUGACAAGCCUUGCAUUUGAUUUCUUAUGUGUAAUUAUUGUACUUUCUUCCUUAUUCACAUCAUUAGUCAAAAGGGUUGUAUUCAGAGAGUAAAGGGGGAGGUGGCCAGAGACCACAUUUCUUUUAAAUGGGUUAUAAAUCAGGAAACUAAUAAAUUUGUGUGUUAAAGACUUCUUGCACUCAGCAUAUAUCAUGGGAACAAACCAAAUGAAGCCCUAUGCCCAGAGGACAAGGAAUGCUUCUGUUUAUAACAAUGAUUUGUGAAUGGUUCAUGUGCUGUCAGCUUCAGAGACAGCAGAAAGACGGGAGAAAUAGGGCAGCAGGGUUUGAGUUAGUGGCUGGGGAACAGCGCCCUCUAGGUUCCUAAAACAAUAGAUUUCACCUGUCUUAUUUUUUUUUUUUUUUUUUUGUGUCGUGUCGAUUGCUGGUUUGAUAAUCCAUUUGUGUAUUGCUGCUUAUGCCUUAAAUUAUAAUUUUGCUUGUUCUUUUAAAAGCAGUAUGCUGACUGCGAGAAUUCAGUGUUUCUAAUUCAAAUUCAAUAUUAAGCAUUAAAACUUUUAAAAGUUAGUAAGCCGUGAGAAAGUUUACCGCUUUCGUAUGGCUCAUGUCAUGGAGGAUGAGGGCUUCUGGGCCGACAGAGACGCUGUUACAGAAGCGUUAGAUGGUGACACUGAUCGCCCCGGGCUGGAUGAACACAGCCUUAAAACAAAUGUAGAGGACUGUGAAGCGUCUGGUGGACUUUACUGCACAUCUGGAGGGUUAGCUGAAGCUCUUAGAACUGUUGCAAGCUUACAGUUAUGGAGCUUAAUGGGGUUUUCUCUGCCUGUGUCAUCCCUCUUCUCUCUGGAGAGCUCCAGUCUGAAAUCUUCUGACAUGCCCUGCGAGGAGAGUGAGGUGAAAAGGGCAGAUGCUAUGGAAGUCAGUUCUCCACAAGAGGAAACGUAUGUUGCUCGGUUUAAAUCGGGGUACAUCAACCGUUGUAAGUUUACAGAUGAAUCUCACCAAACGGUCAACCAGAUACUGUAGCCUGGUCACAUUUUACCCAUCGAAGACUGAAAAUCCACUAUGUACCUUGUGUUGUCUGGUUUGUAUAUACAUGCAUGCAUUUUAUUUAUUUAUUUUUUUUAAGCAAGUAAAAUGUCUUUUUAGCGUAAUUCCAAAAACGGACCCCUUCAGGUCUUGGAACACGUCUUUUUGCUGUGAAAGCUUUAAAGAUUUUUAUGAAGUAAACAUAAUUUUUUUUUUUUUUUUUUUUUUUUUAACGUAGUCAUUUUAACACACAGGUGAGAUGGAGGUCGCAUAUGCAAACAGGUAGAGAUCAUCAAUACCACCAUUACCUUUGUACCCUUAAUUAAAUGAUUAAGAGUUGAGGAGGCCGUCUUUAGUUACUUGCUGCCUCCUGUUGGACAGGAAAGAUCAUUACAAUCAGUUUUAGUCCUUUUCGCAUUUGUAAAUAUAUACAGCCUACCUUGGGUAAAUACUUUCAAUAUUAUGAUCCCAUGCGAUUUAUUUAUAGGAUAUCUCUCUUGUUAUUUAUUUUUAUUUUUUUUAGUUUGUUAUUAAUAUCGUGAGGCUCAGUGUAAUAUUUGUGUCACCUGUAAUAUAGGCUAAUUAUCAUGUCUACAUUUAAAAAAUAAAUAAAUAAAUAAAAAAAAUGUGAU
rnacentral:lncRNA from 1 species